rnacentral:rRNA from 1 species
GGGUCAGUAGGUUGGUCGUGCCACCGGUACGUACUGGUCUCACUGAUUCCUCCUUCCUGAAGAACCGUAAUGCCAUUAAUUUGGUGUUGCGGAGAAACAGGACUGUUACUUUGAAAAAAUUAGAGUGUUUAAAGCAAGCUAACGCUUGAAUACAUUGGCAUGGAAUAAUGAAAUAGGACGAUCGAUCCUAUUUUGUUGGUUUCUAGGAUUGACGUA